CGCCGUCUGAUAUAACAUACCAAAGGGGAAGGGGUGGUGGGGGUUCGUUUGGCUUGGCGUCGUCGUCGCGCGCGCUCCGGUGACGGCGGCGGGCCGGCAUGGCCGUGGAGGAAGUCCUCGGUUGGUCGCUGUGCAACUUGACGCCUCAUCAUCUCGGCUCGGCCAAAGGGAGAAUGAAGAUACAAUACAAUACAGGAAGAGCGGCCUCCGGUCGCCGUGGUGUGCGUGUGUGUGUGGGCUGGAUGCCCUGUUCUCAGCUAGCGCUCUCCUAUCCUAUCAGAUUCAGAGCAGGGUUUUGCUGAUGUUCUACGUUUUGUUACUCGCUAUCACCAGAAAUAAAAAAGUUCCUUGCAGUUUGUUCUAAUUCCUACCAUCGUUGCAACAUUGGAUAUAGUGUCUAAGAACAGGAGAACCUGUAGAAAAUAGACAAGCACAGAAACUGUACUCGAAAUCGUCUGAAAUGCGAACUAGUGCAUUUUCCUUGCGAAAAUCCCUACAAAAAAUCUUGUGGUAGGCGUGCGUGGCCGCACUAAAAGAAAAUGUGCCCCGGUCGGUGCAGAGAACCCGUCCCGUCCGCUCACUGUCUGACGUGUGGUGUGGUCCGGCCCUACGAGUAGGCCUCGUGCCUAUAGGAGCGUUCCAGCACUGCUUCCCCACUAGCACAGAGCCGUGCAAUUUUAUCACACAAGACUCGAGAAAUCCACGAGAUCGCGGAUUGGUAUUGCUUGAGCGCCCGGUGAUCCCCGUUGCACUCCAGCCGACCACCACCGACUCCUGCGGCGCCUAGAAUUUCCCGUGCUCCAGCGAUAGGGCGCGACCGGGGUGAAACUGAAACCAGUGGCAAUACCAUUGGGUCCCCACCGCGGGUGCCCGUGAACCUUAUCGUGGCGCAUGCCUCCCGCACCGACCGACGGCAUGGACGCCGUCGUCUCUGCUAGCCUUUCUUUCUUUCUUUCUUUUAUUUAACGCGGCGGUGAUCGACAGCGACCGGCGGCGCGGGAAGCUCCCGCAGGGCUUGCGGGUCUGUUCGCUUCAGCUUAUAAACCGGCUGAAAAGCUGAAAUGGCUGAUUUGUUGUGAGAAAAAAACACUGUUUGGUAGCUGAUAGGCCGGAUGAACAAGCUGAAGCGAACACGCCGUGCAUAGUUGCAUCCGGCUGGCUCCGUUCUCGGAUCAACUUGGGCUGAGGGCAAUUGACAGUGAACGGGCCUGGCCAUUGAAUAUUUGAAUUGAGCACCAGUGGUAGCUCAAAUUUACCACGCGCAGGUCGGCACACGGAAGGAUCAGGAAGGUAAGGCGACCUGGACCAGUCAUCAGUUCAUCACAUGACGCGCUGCCAAGAUACCCUCCAGGCUCCAGCAAAAGAAAAGCUGUUGGGAAUGGGCCGCCCUGCGUGGGAUCAAUCCCCGAGAAGAUCAGAUAUUAUAACGUGGCACUAAAAAAGAAUAAAGUAGCCGCCGGGAUUGUCUCACAAAAGAAUAAAGUAGCCGUCGAGAUUGGUCUCAAAAAAUAUUAAAGUUUCGGCGUGUUCAGAUCCGACAACCUAUCGAGGCUACCCGAGUUAGGGUUGAGUGCGCGAGACUUGUCAAGAUUAGGAAUUUGAAGGUAAACACAGACAUACGAUUUAGACAAGUUUGGAUCGUUAGAUUGCGUAAUACCCUACUUCUUGUGUGUCGGUUGGAUUGAAUUGCCUUGAAGAGGAUCCCUGCCUCGCCUUAUAUUAUCGGGAGCAGGGUUACAGGUUGGUUGAUUUAUAAGAAUACUAGUCGAAUUCGAUUAGAUAAGGCAUACUCUAAUUAUUACGAGUAGUUUUUCGAAUUCUCGACUAGUUCCUAUCUUACCACGUAAAUCAUACCAUCCUGCAUCAUAGUCUUCACAUCUUGUACCAGUCCUGUACCUAGAACUCUCCAAAUCUCCUGAUGAACUCGUAGAUGUAUAUACGACGGCCGCCGAGGUUCGAAUGCGAACGGUGCAGGUCAUCUGGCUAGUUGGUGUGCAAAUUUUAUUUGAAAUGCUGUAGUCCACCGACGAACAAAUACUUCAGCCCAUUUUUAAGUCAUCUCUUGCUAUUUUAUCCUUCCCGAGAUACCCAUUGCCGACAGCAUCAAUUAGUUGCUAUUUUAUCCUUCCCGAGAUACCCAAUACUGACAGCAUCAAUUAGCGUCCAUAUAGCUUUCAGUAAAAGAGAAGGCUUCUGGGCAAUAAUGAACACAGCUGAAAGGGAGUGUCAAUUUUCUUCAACACAUGCGUAGUGCGAUUUUCUUACUACGCCAUAACCUUUAGUACUGUCUUAAGCCCGCUCAAUAUGUGCAAACAGAUUAUCAUCUGGACCACAGAAAUCUGAAGGAAUGCAAACAUACACAGCCCAUACAGAUACAGAUCACCACACAUGGGCCACAAACUACCCAUUAACACCCACAGUAAGAACCACAAGCAUUGGGCGUGAGCAAGAGCUGCUUCCAAAGCAAAUCUCAAACAGAUCGGAGGGUUCGUCCAAUUUUUUGGGCAAUCAUAUUGCAAUAAGACAACGUCCUCACGACACCUAGAUAUAUCAGACGCAAAACAGAUACACAAUCUGAUCUCACACUGCUGGAACACGGAGGACAAUCCGUCGCUGAUACAUCAACAUGCAGACUCAUAAGAUUAUCGCCUUACCGGCUUCCAGCUUGGCUGCAGACGACUCAGAGAAAAGGGGGACAUACAGGAGAGUAACCGGAUGUAGGCAUGCAAGGGUGAUCGCAUUGGCUGUGCCAAUCACCCAGACUUGAAUAGCAAGACGGCUUUGGAAUCGAUGUAGAAGUAUACAAAGUAGUUUGUCUCAUGCGUUACAUACGAACCUGCAAUAGACGAAAAAUGGUUAGCAAAAGCGUGGGCGUUCAAUAUACAUAUCAUGGACUCAUAAAUGGAAGAGGUUAAUAAGUUCUCACUAUUUUCAGCUUAACUUUUCCAUUCCCAAGCUAUGCAUAUGCCACUAAAGUUCAGCGGUCAACAUAACCACAUACUCCACAACCAAAAGGAGUAACUGGAUGUUUUUAAUGUAGAUUAACAAAUCCAACCAAUUUAUAAUGGAGAAACUCUAGCAGGACUUGGCAUAUGUUCUGUCUCACUGCUAGAAUAACUAUCCCAUGUUACAGAAAUGGUAUUUAGACAUAGUAAACAAGAUGCCGGAUAAAUAUCAAACAAAGGCAGAAGAGGCUAACGCUCUUCUAACUUGCUAAUUGAUCAUUUCUCGAGCUAUGAGAAGUAAUUUAAGAUAAAAUUUCUCCCAUAAUCCUAUCAUAAUAGAGUAAAACAGAAACAUGUAGAAAUUAAGACAGCUCUUCAUUGAGUUUUAUAAUUAGUUUGUGAAGUAGAAUCAGUCAAAAAUAUCUGGAAACUACGACAGCUCAUCACUCAGUCUUAGAAUUAGAGAAACAAUUUAAGAAAAGAUUUCUCCCAUAGUCCUAUCCUAAUAGAGUCAAACAGAAACAUGUAGAAAUUAAGACAGCUCUUCACUGAGUUCCUAUCCUAAUAGAGUCAAACAGAAACAUGUAGAAAUUAAGACAGCUCUUCACUGAGUUUUAUAAUUAGUUUGUGAAGUGGAAUCAGUCAAAAUAUCUGGAAACUACAACAGCUCAUCAUUCAGUCUUAGAGUUAGGUUGAGAUACAAUCAGUGCAAUCAAAUAGAAACAUCUGGGAACUAAGACAGGUCGCCGAAGUGUCUUAGGAUUAGUUUGUGUGACAGAAUCAGUCAGUUGUGAGUGUGUCAUUCUCUCUAACGUUUGUCCUUCUCUUCUUAUUAGUAAAAAGAAAGCUGAAGUGCUGCCCAAGUUUGGAACAACAAAGGGUGACCAAAUUUAAAGGAAAAAAAUAAAAAAGGACUGGAAUUCAGAGACAGCAACAACCAGCCUCUUGUUUCUAUGCCAUCGAUAGAGAAAAACCUUUUUAAUUUUGCUAAUACUUUCAGUGCUAAAAUGUGUGCUCAAUCAAAAGGGACAUUCAGCCAUUGGUCAAAUCUUUCUAGCCUUGUCAGAGUGGCAGAAUUCGUAAGAAUUUGGUGACUUGUUGCAGUACACCAAUUAUCAGAAGCACACUCCAAAAUUUAUUAACAGAUAUUGGCCCAGAACGAAAAAACCAAUAAAAAAUGUGCAGAUUUGAGUUAUGGCUAUUUUAUGAUAAUUGACAAUGCCUGAAAGAAAACCAAAAUAGUGUAUGUCUGACUUGCUUGUAGAGAAUGCAAAGGAAGGAGAGAAAGAAAGCAAUGAUAUGCUUUAUUUGUUAUGCACGAUAUAGAAGUUGCAGUGAUAAGACCUAGCUACUAGGCAUGCUGGAAAAUUUCCAAUAACAAUAUAAUUUGGCAUCUUGAUCGAGAAGAAGCUAGAAUGGGAGAUAAAUCAGGAAAUUAUAAAUGAUCCAAUGCUACACGUAAAGCUAUAUAGCAUGUAGAAGAAUAUGAACACAGUCGAGAAAUUGCUAUAAGAAAAUAUGACCUGAAGUAUAAGAUUAAACAUUUUGUAGAGGAGAGUCGAAAAACGAACAGCUAAAACUUAUGUUUGAUAAGAACAUAGCCACAUAAUUGCAAUAAAAAAACAGAACAAAUGCAGAGUUAAACAGUUGCUGCAAAACACAAAAGCUGUUCAAUCUGGUACUGAAAAUUGUUAGCUUAGAUCCAAUAUCACAAAUUGGUUAGGCCAAUUGCAUUAGAGGUCUCUAAACUUCCUUUAUUGCACUGCUAAUUGCAGGAGUGUUUGUCAAGUGAAUAAGUAAUGUGCCAUGCCAGUUGACACGGAAUAUAAGUGACAUGACAGUAUGACAGUCAGCAUGCCCAGUCAGUUGCAAGUCUACAUAAAAUGCCAUGCCAUUUCUUUGUUACAUCUGAUUAACAGAGUACAGUGACACUAAGUUAAGGAACUGAAAAAUAAAGCAUGUGCUACUAAUUUAUUGAAACAAAAAAUUUAGUUUUAGAUAAGAAAGAGUUGAACAAAAAAUUGAAUAAGUCAAUUAAAAAUGUGUAAAAUUGAAUGAUACUCCCUCCGUUUCAAAAUGUAGGUCAUUUUUGCUUUUCUACAUAUAUAGAUUUUGCUAUGUAUCUAGACAUAACACUAUAUUUAGGUGCAUAACAAAAUCUAUGUAUCUAGAAAAGCCAAAACGACUUACAUUUUGGAACGGAGGGAGUAGCUCGCUAAGUUGGAUUUGGUUGAUAUCAGGAAUAGCCUACCCUGUUGGCUGAGCAAAGCUUAGAGAAUGCUUACAUAAAGUUUUUAGAAUUUAAGCCAAGCCAGAAGCAAGGAGGUAAACUUCAAAUUCGAGAAAUAAGACAUUGUCAUACUUGCACUAUACACACUCCCGGAAACAAUACUUCACCCACUCCAUUACAGGUGCUACAUUCAAUAAAAAAAGAUACAGGUCAUUCAACAUUCCCUUGUCAAAUUUGAAGCAUAAUUUCAGUUGACUGCAAUAACCGUUUCAGCUUCUUCAGUUUUCCUAGUUCAUUUCCUCCUGUGUACAACUUAUUUGUGGGGGUGAGGGUGGGGAAUGAGUUUCCUGUGGCUUCUAUUGACAGCAUAAGCAGUCCUACAAGGUCCAUUCAAUCAAUCACGUGCGGACCUUUAUUGGGCCAGGCACGGACGAAAUCGACCAUGGAAUAACCAACGACGCAAAGCAUACCAGACCAGAUAUCAACAACUGUCCUCAGGACAGGCGCAAUCAUCCCACAUGUUCCGCGCUAAUUAAGGAGUCCUCCCGGACAAGAGGAGAGCAUUACCGAAGUUGCGGCCGACGAUGCAGUGCCAGGUUGGGCCGUGGUUCUUGUCGAACUCCUUCUUGAUGUACUCCGCGAUGUCCUUCUCCAUGGUGUGCUUCUCGAACGCCUGACCGAAAGAGCGAGAGGUUGAAAAAAAAAUCCCCCGAACCCCAACGAACAACUAGUAAUAUGAAAACCAAAUCGAGAGCAGGAAAGAAAGCAAUAGUGAGAGCAGAGGCACGAGGUUCGUACGAUGCGGGCGAUUUCGAAGGCCUCCUGCCGCAUCUCCUCCUUCAUAUCGGCGCUCUUGAGCUGGAUCUUGUGCCCCGCCGCGGCCGGCGGCGGGGACCCCGCGCCCACCGGCUUGCGGUCCUCGGAGGAGGCCCGGAGCGCCGCCUGCGCGGCGCCCCCGGCCCCGCGCCUGGCCUCGUCGGACAUUCUCGAGGGCGGGUGGAGCAGAGCUGCCGGGCACGCUUCUCCUCCCUCUCGAGGAAUCCUCUCCUCGCUUUUUUGGCGAUGGUGGGCGUCUGGGCGAGGACGAGAAGCAGACACCGUGGGCGUGCGCGUGCGCGUUGCAGUGGAAUCUGCCUAGCAGCCGGCGGCCAGAGAGAAGAGAGAAGGUGAAAGUGUUGAAACUGGGAACUUUGGGCUGAGCCAUGGGCCUCCAUAUACAGAACCGGCCCGAAAUAAAGAGUCCAUGAGGUUGGUCCAGUUCCGUUUGCAAUGUGAGUAUUUUGCGAAACCGUUGCAGAAAUUUUAAGUGGAGCAGUUCAGCCCUCGUAGAGUCGAGAGUAAGACAAGAACAGUCAUGAGUUCCAAAUAUGCCUUCUUUAUAAAAAAAAAUUUGUCGUUAACAGUGCGCGUGUGUGUCUCCAGCAACUUCUAAUGUGACCCAAAUGGCCAAAUGUUACGGAGCCCUACGUGUUCUGGAGUUUCAAAGAGACGUAUGAAGACCACGAUGCAAAAAUGAUGUCUGCCUUUUCUCUGUCCGGUCAUCCAGGGUGUCACCUGGAGUUUUCAAGGUGUAUUUGGUUGCAUGCACCACAUGAUAUAUGCAUAGAUGAUUCUACAUGAGUGGUUCAACCAAUUUGCUUGUACCAUAUGGUUCAUUCUAAUUAGUAGAAUAAUGUAACACAGUGUUUUACCAUACAUUUGCAUAUCAACAGUCUCGCAAACCUGCAAACCUUCAAGGGUAUUAUAGUCAUUUCUUACCAAAAUUACAGUAUCACAGCUGUUUCAAUCAAACGGCUUUCAGCUUUUUCACACCUCAUAGCAUCUUUUCCAUAACCCGCAGCUCACAUCAACUUUUUCACAGCUCACAGUUCAACAAAAUAGACCAUAUAUAAGUAUGUUCGUGUGCUUUCAAAUUGCACGGGCAUCCUAAACUUACCCUCAGCUGCAAUUUAGGUCCAUGUGUUUGCAAAUGCUGAUCUAAGUAACUGAAUUUAGCUUAAUUGAUUAUUUUUUCUUAUGAUGGAACCUGCUUACCUGACUUCAAAUGCACUGAGUGCUCAUAUUUUUCUAAAUUUAUUUUAGGAAAUAAUAACUAUGUUUUUUAAUGGUUAGCGAUGUACCCGUCAAUAACGAGGUCCUUAUGUUUCGUCAAUCUCAAAAUCUGUUAGUUCAAUCUCUCUGAGAUAUGGUCAUAGGGAUAGGACGUGUGUGUUUGUAUGGAAAAGUUGACUUCACUUUUUUUUUGCUAGUUUUUUUCCAUGCAACACCUUCACAUCUAGAGACCUCCCAUAAAAGUACAUAUAUAGAAGCCUACAUACAUGCAUGCACAAUUACACAAUAUACACCUUUAGAGGAUCCGCUGAGGCUACUAGGGUCCCGUUUGGCAGAACUCUCAAAACUGAUUCUCCACUAAAUCCAGUAGGAACUCUGCCAAACAGUUUUUUAGAGAGAAGUAAUUCUCUAAUGAUUCUGUGAAGUAAUCCUCUGAAAUGAACUAAGAGGCUGGGAGCUGAAAAAAGUAGUUUCUCCUGAUUUUGUGAAGUAAUUCUCCAUUCUAAUUUUAAGAGUUUAUGCUAGAGAAUUAAAUAGAAUCGUUUUCAACACUUUUCUCAGAGAAUCAGAUGGAGUUCUAACCAAUAUUACGUGCGAAUGGUGGGGACGUUGUUUUUUAUGGAGGGGGUCAUGUUGGAGACAAACUUUGCUCAAAAAAUUGUUUUAGUUCCCAAACUAUCGAAAGGGUCAAUUUAGUCCCUGAAUUGUUGUUUGUAGUUCAAUCUAGUCGUUAGUCUUACAUGGCAUGCCAUGUGAGCUGACCGGUAUGCCCACAUGCAAAAUGUCCAUAUUACCCGUCCUCUUUUUUCUCACCCUCUCGCUUCCAUGCGGAUCCCACCUCUCAGUUAAAAAAAAAAUGGUCCGGUCCUUCGAUCCCUUGUGGUGCAUGUGGCUCCCGGUCCCAUCCCGCCGGCCGGCCAAGCAGGUGGAGCGCAUGAAUUGGCCUGUUCGCUUCAGCUUAUCAGCCGGCUUAUCAGCCACCGAACAAUGUUUUUCUCUCAUAACAAAUCAUCUGUUUCAGCUUUUCAGCCGGCUUAUAAGUCCAGCCGAACAGACCAAUACAGCUCGGCAGGGAAGACCGGCUAGACGAAGAUGCAUCGGCAAAGGAUGUCAUUGGUCUUACGUCUUGCCUUGGCCUUAUAUUUUUGCAUGUGCGAUGCGUAAUUUCUUCAAUUUCUUCAUGAGGCUCGGCGACACAUCCACAUCUCAACCAUUUAUUUGGUUUAUUUUUAUUUUUCCCUCAACCAUUUCAACCCUGACAGGUGGGACCUGCUUGGAAGCGAGAGGAUGAGGAAAAAAGAUGAAGGGUAAUUUGGACAUUUUGCAAGAGGACGUAGCAGUCAGAUGACGUGGCAUGGUAACUUGGUCCCACAUAAGACCGCAGACUAGAUUGAACUAUAAACAACAGUUCAGGGACUAAAUUGGUACUUUUGAUAGUUUGGGGACGAAACCGAUCCUUUGAGCAAAGUUGGGGAACCAAUACAGACUAUUUUUCCAAUUGCUAACGGACGAGUAAAGUGCAUGGCAGCGUUAAGUGUCCGUGUACUUUCAAAUUGCACUGUCCUCCUAAACUUACCAUGGGAUGCGAUUCAAAUCCAUGUACUCCCAAAUGCUGAUCUAGCGUACAGAAUUUAUCUCAAUUGGUUAUUUUUCUUCUGAUGGAACUUGCCUAACCUGCCUAUCCGACUUCAAGUGCUCGACUCGUCAACACAGCUACUCGUAUUUUCCAGAAUUUAUAUCAAGAAUCAAUGACUAUAUUUUUUAAUAGUUUGUGAUGUACCCGUCGAUACCGAGGUUAUUGUGGUGAUUUCGUCAAUCUCAAGAUCUGUGUCAAUCUCAAGAUCUGUUAGCCCAAUAUAUCUCAUAUGUACUCGUAGGGAAAGGAUGUGUGUGUUUGUAUGGAUAAGUUUUAAGGGUCUAUUUGGAUCCGUUAGCUAAACUUUAGCAGCUAAACUUUACUAAACUUGAGUUGCUAAACUUUAACCAUGACUGUUUGGAUCCAUGGGCUAAACAUCAUUUAAUGAGGUGUAGAAAGACCUGUCUGCCCUUAUUUAAUGCGAGGGGGGAGACAGAGAGAGGGUCCAGACAAGCAAUAAUGAGGGGCAAAAAGUGUCCAGCCCCAAGUUUAGCAAGGUUUAGCAACCAAAAAGUUGUUAAAGGACUAAAGUUUAGCAACCAUAGUUUAGCAAAAUUUAGCAAGGGUUUGUUGCUAAACUUUAGCUGCUAAAGUUUACCAAGGGGUAUCCAAACACCCCCUAAGUUGACAUCAUACUUUUGUUGCCAGAUUUUUUGAUGCAACACCUUAGAUUUCCUCCCUCAUAUAGAUGCCUAGAUACAUGCACGAAAUGCUUACCCAUAUAAAAAGGCACACUUAAAUACUAUGCACCUAGAGUACCAUAAAAAAAUACUGGACCCGCAGAUCAUGAGAAUGACGAAAUUACCACAGCCACCUCACUAUGAACGGGUACGCCGCUUACUACUAAAAGAAUAAUUAGCCAUAAAUGCAAGCAAUUGUCUUGAAGUUGGAGACUUGGAACUUGGAUGAGCAAGUUCAACCAAAAAAUCUAAUCAACCUAGAAUGUCGCUAUGGCAGAGAGUUUGCAGCAGCUUUUGAAAACUAUGGCUAAACAUGUUGAAAGAACACAACUCUAAUUAAUUCUAACUAGAAUGGGUCCUACUACCAAAGUAGUAUUUCUUGGAAAGAAUGGAAUUUUUCUACAUUCCCAACAUGAUUUUUUUCUCUCUCAAAAACACAGUUCCCAACAUGACCUACAAAGAACCUUUGAUCGAUUAGCACAUAAUAUUUCCUCGGCAGUUAUUCUAGGGAUCUAGCCAGAUUGCAUCUCUAUUCUCUAGUGGCCUAGAGGGCUUCUGAGCAUUUUGGUUGUGUAUUGGCAGCAGAUGGACAACACAUGAUGGAUGCACUCAUCGAAUUUUGGAUUAGUGAUCAAUCGGGCCAUCGGCUAAGUGCAUAUGCAGGCGAGGCCCCUUUGCAUAUGCAGGCCGGAGCUGUAUGCGCAAAAAAAAAAUUCAAUUGCAAAAACAAAAAAGGAAUAAAAGAGAUGAUGGCGGAUUUGCUGCCGUCGAUCUACUAGGUUUGCACACGAUCCAUGCUAUUGCUCUACCAUUGCCACCAUGCUGCGUUACUCGCUCUCCGGAUCAACCAGAGAAGGGAAAAAUUGAAGGGGGAAAGGUAGCAAUAGAAACACAUAAAAGAUUUGGAAAAAAAAAUCUUGCGACGAGGUUCCUGUUGUGCCACUCGUUGAGUGGAACCUGAAUCACCUCAUGACGGCGUGCUUCCAAGAGCCGCACUAUACACAGUCCGCCGAGAUCAGCACUAUACGCGGCCUGCUAGGAUCUGCACUAUAUGCAGUCCGCUAGGAUCCGUUAGCCUUGAUGAAAAACCGUGGAAGGGACUACCUCUUCCAUCGAGAAUCCACAUAAUCUGGGGCAGAGAGAGAGAGAGAGGGAGGGGGAGAGGGAUAGAAUUUGAGGGAGGAGGGAGAGAGAGAGUUUGCUCACCCUCCCCUUCAUGGUACCAGUUAAAGCAUAGUCUUAGCCACAUCGCAGCUCCCAAUCAGCAGCCCUCGAGCCGCACCAGAUCCCGCUAUGCCAGCAUAUGUGGAUCUCGCGGGUUCUGAGUUCCUAUCCCCCAUGGCGGCAUGCAUCUGCCUCACCUGUUGAUGGCGAGUCGGAGGUGGCCGCGGAGCAGGGGAGGUGUACUGAGAUCCGUUCGAGCCACCUCUGCGGUGUGUUGUGGAAGCCAACAGGGUAGAAAAGAGGGAGGAGGAAAAGGUAAAGGGAAUGAGAGGGAGCUCUUGUCGAUAGAAGAUAUAGGGGAAAAGGUUCUCUGAGUCAGGCACACUCACGUGAAAAAAGGGAAGAGGGGCAGCGGUGCAUGUCAACAACGUGUUGAUGACCUGUAGGGACUCCACAUACAGCGAAAUUAGAUCACCUAACCAGGGGCAAACAAGUUCAACUAUAUACCAUGGGAAGAAUGUAUGAUCCAUACAUAACUCCUAAGUCUCCAACUAGCAACUUAGUGGGAUGGUCAUUGAAGGCAACAAUCGCUCCAAAGUCUUUGAGAUUUCAUUCUAGCGGCCCCUGUCCCAUCCCUCUUUUUUCUGGUAAUUGAAAUAGUUAGGUAGUUUUUGGUUGUCAACUUUAAACCUUAGCAUAUAAGGAAAAUGGAAGAGUUGUAUAAUCGUAAACGAUUUAAGCAAUUACUUAUUUUGUUUGGUUUUGCCCAAUAAUGAAGUAUGGUGUUAAAAACAAAAAUUAAAGAAGAAGUAUAUAUGAUCAACGAGACGGUGACAAUGAUAAAGAUCUUUUGCCUGGCAUUUUGCCCUGGCAACAGCACCAUAAUGUUCCUGACAACCUGCAGGCUGUGGCGGUAAUGGGCGUUCAUUUGCAAGGUGUACACGAUCGUUGUGGAGACGAGGUCAGGGUGCAUCUAAUUUCAAGGACUUGUUCGACGUUGUUCUUCUGGAGUACUCUCUGUCACUAUUUGUUUUGACUUUUCUAAAUACAUAUUUAAAAAGAUCAAAACGAAUAGUAAUUCCAGGAAGUACGUAGGAAGCAAGCGGACACGAGGAUUAGAAUGGGCAGUGAGCCUCAUUACACUAGGUAGGCAGCAGUAUCUGUUUACCUAGUUUUUCCUUAUCUCCGUGGGAUUUGAUUGUGCCAGCGUCUAAACAAACACAGGUUGCCUCCAGAAAGGAAUUAUAUUAAAAAACAUGAACCAAAGAGAAUCUAAUAAGUUACACGCUCGUGAGACUUUGAUGCGAAUUUAUGCCAGUUAUAGGUCAUCUGUAAAGUUCCACUUAAAAAUCUUUUCCAUUGAUUUCUAAUUCUCUUUUUGUCAGGUGAAUUUGUUUUCAAUUUCAUGCUUAUUUUUUCAGUUACAUUCUAGAUUCUUGUGUUCAAGGUGGUCUGGUUCUGGUAACUCGCGGCCAGGAAGAAGAUGAGGUCCCUGGCCUCGACAAAUUGCAGAAUCAUGUCAUGGCGCUUACGAAUGACUAGUUACAAAUCUUAUUAUUAGUAAAAAAACAGAGUAUGUAUAAGAACCUGGUACACUAGUCUUGCAGCAUCACUUUGUGUUUGGAUUGAGGAUCGAAGUGGGUUGAGAUGGGUUUUACAAAACAGAGUAUGUACAAGAACCUGGUACACUAGUCUUGCAGCAUCACUCUGUGUUUGGAUUGAGGGUUGAAGUGGGUUGCCAACCCACUUUGCCCCAUGUUUGAUUGAAUUCCCAACCCAGAUGGGAAUAUUCCUACGAGAUCCGGGUCGAGCGCAUCCCAUUAAAUCGGAGGGACUGCAUGAACCCAGUCCGACGCCAUCUCCGUGCUUGCCUGCGCGCUGGGGAGGAGCUGGGAUGCCGGGUGGUGGCGGGCGCGGGGAGGUGGCGGGGGAGGUCGCCACCGUGGGGAGGCCGCCACCGCGGCGGAUGCAGGGGCCGGCGGCGGCAAGGGAGAGCAGGGGGUGCGUGGGAGGAGCCAGUAGAGGAGCCGUGCGGGGAGGAGGAAGAAGGUAGAAGAGGAAGGGAGGAAAAAAAGAGAGGCUGACUGGUGAGCCCCGCAACUGAUAGGUGGGGCCCACAACUAACGGUGUUAAAAGGACAUCCAUCCUAACCUUCUCAACCUCAUCAAGCAAACAAAAAAAUGGAUCAGCUCCAACCUACUCAUCCAAACAUGAGAUGAGAUGGCUCCAACUCAACUCACAUCGUCCCAAAAUCAAAAGCUACCUUAGUCUCUUCCUCUUCAAAUAACUGCUUCUCGUCACGGCCAGGCUCUCCGCCGCCGCUUCCACGGCGCAAUUCGUGACGUAGUUGUAGUAGGGCGGUAUAGGGGACCGCCAUGCUAGCACGCCCAUCUUGUCCUCGCCACGGGGCACGGCGCGGCCGUCGAGCACGUCCUGCAGCGUCACCUUGGGAAGCUCGGCGCUCUGCGCCGGACCGGGUCGCCACGUCCCCGUCUGCUUGCGCCAGUCGUAGUAGAAGCAGAGCGGCGCGUCCUCGGCGGCGCCGCAGAGGUAGGCGAGCCUGCUGCGGCCCGGCAGCCGGCUCGGGUGCUCGCCGAAGGCGGUGUAGUUGGCGCGCACGCCGCGCCUGACCACCUCCAGCACGCGGCGCCAGAACCGCGCGUCCAUGCUCGAGUGCAUCAGCCGGGAGAGGAUGUUGGCGGCCAUGAACGACCCCUUGAGCUCGUCCACGAGGUCCAUGGCGAUGGAAGCGAGCUCCGGGUGGUCGCCCGGGUCGGCGCUGCCGAAGGCGAGGACCUUGAAGAAGUGCCAGUAUUCUUCUUUGUGCAGGGUUGCCAGCCUCAGUGCCUGUCCCGUUCCUAGAGUUGAGACCUGCUCUGUUUGGCUGAUGACGAUGAUCUUGCUUGAUUUGUCGCUGUUGCUAACAGAGGAGUAGAACCUUCUCCAAGCUGAGGCAUCCGGCGCACCGGCAAACUCGACGAUGAUCAGUGAUCCCCCGCCGCUCGGGACGUGUUCCUGGUGCUCAGGAAUCAGAUCAUAUUCGCCGUCUCCAAGUUCGUCGCCGCAGAGAUGGGUGAUCAGAGGGAAUUGCUUCCGCACCCUGUCGUCGGCGCAGACGUGCUCCACGAGAGUCUUCUUCCCAACCUCCGGUGGGCCGGUGAUGGGGAGGACUCCGGGAAGCGAGCAAGGCCGCAGCAGGAACUCGAUAACCCUCUCCAUCUCGCCGUGCCGGCCAAACAUGCACCGGCCCAUGUGCAGAUACGUGCUGUACGGCUGGCGACCGACGCGCGGGUAGCCGCCGAGGAACACGACGAACUCCUUCAUGUCGCCGAGCACGGCCUCGAGGCUGUCAACGACGGCCUGGAGCUCGUUCAUGCUGUCUCCGCUUACCUCCACUGCUCCUUCACCGUUGUUGCCGUCGACGACCGCCGCCGCGUCGAAGUACGGCGAGGAGGAGGAGGAUCUGCGGCGCGCCGCGAGGACGCGCCUUCUUGUGCUGACGGCGGCGAGCCUCCGGGAGGCGUCGAGGACGUAGUGGCCCCGGUACAUGCCCUCCCUGAGACGGCCGAGCUGCAGGAGCAUACCGCGGUUGGUGAUGUGCCGCGUCUCGGCCUCCUCGACGACGGCGCGGGCACGCAGGAGGAGACGGUGCAGCCUCCCAAGUUUGCUGGCGGCGGCAUGCUUCUGGUACCUGGCGAUGAGGAAGGAGAGGCACCGGCCGAUGAGGUCGCUGACCACCGCAGAGGCCAAGGCGUCCAUUGCUGAAACUGAUCGAGGAGUUUCUUGCAGGCUGCUGGUUAGUGAUUACUGAACCGACGAGUGGAUUCCCGCCGGUUCGCGAGAAAAAGUUUGAUGCCAUGGAUGGAAUGUGGAGGUCCAAGUCAAGGGUCAACCCCUGAGACAGCACGGCGGUGACUGUCCCGGUUUGUGGUUCCCCUUCCAAGCAGGCGGCUGGUCGUCACUCGUCAAAGUUGCAUACAGCUGAUAAGCCGGUGAAGCAAUCAAUUUAUUGUGAAAUGUUAACAUAAAAAGGACCAGCCCAGAAUCUGUUUACUGUUCUUUUUUUAAAAAAAAGACAUCCUAAACAUCGAACUCGAAGUCUUUUUUUUUGUUUCAUCAAUGGUGUUUCCGAAGAAAUGGUUGAAUAAGAUUUAGUGAACUUUCAAACGUACGACGUCUAACAACCCCAUUUAAAAAAUCCGAUUCAGAGAACAAUGAACCCUAAAAACAAGAAUGGGGAUUGGGGUGUGCAUUUUUUUUUUUCAAGAUGAUUUGUUGUUGCAAAAGAUUUUGGGCUCAGAAUUGAAGAAGGCUGACAAUGUUCACCGGAAUGUAUGAUGUUGAGUAACACAACAAGGAUAUGCUGACCACAGGUAACAAAUAAGUGCCCAGGGUAGUUUAAAGAACCUUUUUACAAUCCUUGACUAGGAUCCCGAUCAACUAGAGAUUGUGAAAAAACGUCUUUAGCUUGUGAAUUGUUAAGAGUAAAUUUCUUUUAUGCCAUUAAGAAAAUUCCAAUCUCUUUGGUGCCAUCAGAAAUUUUGGAGAAGACACGGCAGUUUAGUCCUUAACAGAGCUCAGAGGUAUGGAACGUGACGUUCAUGGAAGGGAACAGAAAAUUUUUAACUGGUGGCAUAGAAGGAAACUCAAAAUUUGAUGGUACCAAAGGGAUUUGAAAUACUACUUCUAGAUUUCAACAGCCUAUAAUACCGUUAGUGGAGACGUGGGUAUGUGAAUGACAAAGGUGGCCAUUUCCAGUAAAAUCCAAUUGCCAAUUUGGUCUUUUUUUUCAAUGCACAAGAUGGCAAAAGCUAAUGAGAGGCAACUUAUGGGAUUGUUAAAAGAUGGUAAAAGUUGGCAUGCUUAGAUCAACCAGACCUUUUAAAACCAACAAUCCGCACUUUAGCCGAUCCAGACAGGGCCUAGAAGUGUAGCAUGAUUUUGGUAGAAGAGGUGCGUGAUGCUAGUUUCUCUCAAGUUAAAAUUAGUAGCUCUUUGCGAACUGAGUUAGUGAACUGCCCAUCCAAGUCUUCAACUCAACGUAGGUGCUUGUAUUUUUUUAUAUUUAUUUCAAGAAUUAACCAUGCUAUUCUUAAUUUUAGUGGUAAGUGGUAUGCCCGUUGACAACGAAAUGCUUAUGGUGACUUUGUUAAUCUCAAGAUUUGUUGCUCAGUUUCUCAACAAUGCUCGUCUAAGAGUAGGAUGUGUGUUUGUAUCGAUAUGGGUAAUUGUCGUAAACAUCUGCAUGGGUAUCGCUGUUUUGAAAAAAUGGGCUUGUUUUACCUUUCCAAGAAAGAAAAUAAAGCUCCUGCGUGCCAUUUUUGUUAGGAGACAUGAAGGCGAUAGACACCCUACUACUAUUAUUAUAUGUGUUAUUCAUGCGACUCUAACAUGAACUCACUACUCACACUUAUGAAAAUUAUCAAGAGACUGCUUGAACAGAUCAUGAGAAUAUCAAAGUUACCACAUCCACCUCAUUGUGAACGGUACACCACUUACUAUUACAAAAAUUAGCCAUAAAUGCAAGUACUCGCAUCGAGUCAAAGACUCGAACUUGGAUGAUCAUAUUCCACCAUUACAAAUCUCACCAACCAAGUGAUGACUAGAGAUUUUGCAACAGUUUUAUAAACUAUGACUAAACACAUAGAGAGAAACAACUCCAAUUAAUUCUAACUAGAAUGGACCCAUUACCAAAGUACUCCAACUAUUAAUGACAUUUGCACACAUUUCUAAGAGUAAUAAUAUUUUUCUCGGUGGCUAAUGUUAAUAAUAUUUUCCACUUGUUAAGAGUGCGGAAAUUGAUUGGGGGGUGGGUUGGGGGGGGGGGGGAGCACAACAUAUAGGUGGGGUAGCCCUCACCCAUCGGGCUAGUCUUUUGGGUUGAGUUAGGCCCAAGUCCUUGUUGUGGGCUCUGGUGGGGCGCCGUCUCGUGGGUAUAACAGGUCGGGUGGAUUCUGCUACGCACUCUAACAGUUAAUCUAGGGAUCUAGCCAUUUCUCAUCAUUAGUGGCCUUGAUGACUCCUGAUCAUAUGGUUGCGUGGCAAUUUGUAAGAGAUGGGACUAAAGGUUGCAAAUGAUGGAUGUAGUAGAGUUUUGGACUAAGAACCAAUGUUGGCUAAGUGCGUAUGUAGGCGGGGCCGCUUCAAAACCUGGAGCCUGGGGUGGUCGCCACAUUCACCAUCCCUAGGUCAAGGAGAUGGGCACACCAAAAUUUCAAUUGAAGAAAACAGAGGAUGGAGGGGGAGGAUGGGGCAGUGGGUAGAUCCGCCGGUGGUAAUGACCCACUGGACUCACACAUGCCCUAUGCCACUACUCUACCUUGGACACCACACCACAUCACUCACUUGUCAGGGCAACCGGAGGGGUAGGGGGGAAAGGAUGAAGACGAAAAAUAAUUGUAGAAACACACAAUAAAAUUUGGAAAAUAAUUAAAAGGAAAGAAAAAACUGGUGAUGAGCUUCAAUCCCUUGGUGCCACUCGUUGGGUGGAAACCAAGUCGCCUCACAGCGGUGAGAUCCCGAGAGCCACACUAUGUGCUCUCCAACCGGAUCUGUCCCCUUCACUAGGAAUCCACCGAGAGAUUGCACCCACCAGUUGAAGUGCCACCGCAUGCUUCACAUAUGCUCCAUCACACCACCUCUUGUUACUCAACUCCCAGCUAGCGAUGCACGGGGGGAGUUUCCUUGAGCCGCACCAGAUCCUGCUACGUCGGCAUGUGCAGAUCCCGCGAGCUUUGGGUUCUGGUCCCUCUCCAUGGUGACAUGUGCGUUCCAUGCCUAACGCAAACAAACAACACAGUGGAAAGACCAUUGGAGUGGAGGUAACAAUCACACUUUUAUUGAGACUAAACUUUGGUUCCAGUUGUCAUCCCACCCUUGUUUCCACUAUAUUUGAAAUUUUUUCUAUGCUUGUUAGUUUUUGAGGAGAAUUUAGACCAACAUUAAUUGUGUAUAUCUACGUUUGGAAUGUUGCUUAUGUUCCAUUUUUGGUCCCACAUACAAAUAAACUUUGGUUCCGGUUGUCAUCCCACCCUUAUUUCUGCUCUAUUUGAAAUUAGUUGUAUGCUUGUGAGUCUUUGAGGAUAAUUUUUUUUAUGUAACAGGAGGGGUGUGACCUCCAGAAAAAUAUUCGGUGCAAACGACCUUCUCGCGGUGGAAAUGUGAAAAUCCCUUAAAAAUCAUACUUUCAAGUAUUAAUUUUUUUUUGAAAUGAUGCACAUUCAUAGUGCAUCCAUAGACACACUUUGUGGCAAAAGAUGGGAUGCAAAACCAUUUUUGCAAAAAUUCAUACAAAAAUGACAAAUUUCAAGUGCAUAUGCACUAGAAGACCAAUUUCCAGGAAUUUCAUCUUUUAGUGUUUAUGCACAUGAAAUUUAUCAUUUUCAUUUGAAUUUUCCUAUUUUGAGUUUGCAUCGCAACUUUUGCCACAAAGUACAUCUAUGGAUUUUUUGAACACUUACAAAUAUGAUUUUUGAAGGGGUUUUCACGUUUCCACCGAGAUGGUGGUUUGCACCGAAUAUUUUUGUGUGACCCCCUAUUAGUUAUAUAUUAAAACAAUAAAUAAAGUAUUUUACAGGGAACAAAAAGAUCAAAGAAAGAGAAAGAGAAAAGAGAAAAUUACAGCAGAUUUUGUAUCCAUUCCUUGUGUGCAUAUAUCCACGGCUGGAAUGUUGCUUAUGUCCCAUUUUUUUCUCCUUCGAGAUCAUUUUCAAUUCAAAGAUUGAAGCCGAUGAUUUUAGUUUUUUCAGUUUACCUAGCAUCCCAGUUUCUUUUCAUGGGCUAGUCAGCAUCCUCAUGAUCUUUAGUUUUUUCAGUUUACCUACCAUCCUGAAGAUCUAGCUGCCAGGUAUUCAGAAACCUGACAGCCUCCGCACAAUUGCAAGUAACCCGAUCCUUUGUACCAGGUGCAACCACUAACCACGCACUAGCAGUCAACGUGAUACAGAUCCAAUCUUGGGUUAAGCCAUUAAGAUCAAAUCAGUGAAGGAUGGUCUGACCUUCCCCCCUGGUCAAUCGAAUGGGAUAACUUUUUUCGACUUACGAGAUGCAAAUCAAACAUAAAAAUGAGCACAAAGUUUACCAAUCAAUUCAGAAAACGACCUGCUGUGAACUAUCCAAUAACUCAAAGUCUUGCUUAAAAUCAAGUCCGUGACAAAUGCUCGAAGGUAAUAUGGUACAAACACGGGCAAUUGAGAGCUUGCAAAGUUCCAACCAUUUAAUAAAAAUGAAGACUAAAAUGAGUUCCUUCUCCAGGUAUAAUAUUAGCUGCAACAGAAGCUUAUAUGCGGUAAUUGUGCUGCAUGUUUUUGGUAACAAACGUCUAUUUUGUAAAUGGGAUAGUUGUGUGUCCACAGAUAGAUGUGCUACAUGUUUUUGGUAACAAACGUCUAUUUCGUAAAUGGGAUAGUUGUGUGUCCACAAAUAGAAGGAAUAGUACACUUUUGGGGAAUGCGCCUUUAGUACCUGGUCAAAAUCCAUCUUUAGUACCGGUUGUGCAACCGGUAUUGUUAUUUCGCCCUUUAGUACCGGAUCAAAUAAUCGGUACUAAAGGGGUAUUAAAAAAUAAAAAAAAAAGAAAUCCGCCAACCGGAGACCUGACCGUACCCUGCAGCCAUCCGCUAGAGCCCUAGAGCCCCGGCCGCACACCUGAGCCCCGCACCAGAGAGAGAGAGGGAGGGAGGGAGGGAGGGAGGCGGUGUACUUACGCUGCUCAGCCACCGCCGCUGAUUGCUGCCACCGCCGGAUCUGAGGGAGAGGUGGCCGCUACUCCAAGAUCCACACGCUCCUUGCUCCACCAUGCCUGCCGACGCUCCACCACCGCGCCCUCCCGCCGGAGCUCCGCUGCUCCUUGCCCCGCCGCCGCUCCUUGCUCCGCCACGCCCUGCCAACGCUCCACCGCCUUGCCGCACCCUCCCUUCCUGCCUCCGCUGCUCCUUGCCCCGCCGCCGCUCCUUACCACAUGUAAGAGGUGAGGGGCGAGUGGAGGGGGGAGGAGAGGGGCGGCGACGGGGGCGGGGGGAGGGGGGGAGGCGGCAAUGGGAUCUGUGGGAGGGACAAAGGGAGGGGAUUCAGCUGCGGAGAGAGAGGGGAUUCGGCGGGGAGAAGAAGAGAGAGAGGCGCAGGUGAGAGGAUGAGGGGGACGAGCAGAUAAGUGUGGGGAGGGGGUGAGAGAGAGAAGGGAGGACUGAUGCGUGAAGAGAGGUUGCGAUUUAGUACCCGGUGAAGCGUCCACCCGGUACUAAAGGCCUUCAGGCACAUUAGUACCGGUUGGAGGCUUCAACCGAUACUAAUGGGUGACUUUAGUACCAGGUGAAGUCUCCACCCAGUACUAAAGGGGGUCAUAGGGGUUCCUCGGGGACUAGCUGUUAGGUCCGGUACUGAGCCUCAGGAUGAAUGCUGAGUUUUCCAGUAGUGAUAACUAUUAUCACAUAAUAUCUUGUGGACUAAGGGACUGAUUGGUGGGGCACCAAAAUGUGCCAAACCAAAAUCAGGGCAAGCCCAAUGAUUCUAGUGCUCGCUUGGUUCAAAUCCAAAAAACUGGCGUGCCAAAGUUUCUGGCACAUCGGCAAGGUUCAGCUUGCCCACGUUUUGGCUGUCCCUGCCAUGCUCCCGUAUUCCCAUCCCUUACUAGUUUGCGCUAUUGUCCUCUACCUGUCAUCUCACUUCUUGCAGCCUCCAGCCAACCCGUCAUCGUCUCCUCUCCUCAAGUACCCAGGUUCUCACCCAUCAACAACAAAGCACUGGAGCUGGAGUUCCACCACCACCCUUUCCCGUUGAAGAUUAAAGGGAACUACCUUGAGUAUAGAUGGGGUAGCAAAAUCUUUCCAUCCGUUGUUAUGCAAGCUGCAUAUUCUAAAAGUGUGUGCUAGUAUGAAUCAUGAACAUUGGCAGUUGUGUUUUGGCAUCAAACCAAUUGGGGGCCAAAAUUUUGGCUGCCACAUUUUGGCACCCAACCAAGUGCCAUCCUAAAACUUUUGCUCAGAUUUUGGCAUGCAAAUUUUGGUAGGGCACAUUUUGGUGCCCAACUAAUCAGACCCUAAAAUUAAAAGUCUGUGGUUAGAAACUUAUUAUGUUCAAUUUGAACCUCUAAUUUAUUAGUUCCAUUUUGGGUUUUGCUACAGUGCGCCGGAUACUUCCCAGGAGGUACAGGAGUUCACAUAAAUCAUAGCCGUUGAUUUGUAGAAUAACUUAUUCAAGAAAUUAAAAAAAUCAAGGAAAAGAAGAAAAAAAUCCAUCCCAGGAAUCACGUUAUUUCUUCUUCAUCCGGCUCUUUCCUUGUCACCCACGGAGAGAAAGAAAGAAAAAGCUACACCGACAUGGAAGUCGGAACGCAGGUCCUCGGCGACACCUCUCGUGAAUCCUCCCCAUUCUGCAGCAUCCCUUAAAUUGUGGAAGCAAAUCAAAUCCAGGUUCAAGAUUUUCGAUCUAAUCGCAAUCGACUUUACCUGCUAGAUCUAAUUGCCACGUUAAAAGAAAAGACGUGAUACAUGCCAUCACGUGAAAAGUCAUCCAGAUCGAUGACAUCAUUUAUUUCGGUCGUCGCAACGUCCACUUUGAUAACGUUCGAUACCGCGGAUGAUCCAAGAUUCAUAAACGAUGUUUUCAAAUUUGGUUACGCAUGCGACGUGCUUCCUUGGUGGGCUAUAAAGGUAACUUGUGUGACGUACUUCCUUGGUGGGCUAUAAUAAUCUUCUAUCAAGAGUAAUGGAGCGAUAGCAAGAACUAGAUCUCUUUCAAGCCUUGUGGUCCUAUUAUCUUCCAGAGUCAUUAUCAUCGUGAAUUUAAUUCUAACUUUCCAACAAGGCAGCUAUUCGAGUAGCUACAAUAUGUCUAUUUCUCUAAACCAGCUGUGCCUUUCAAUCUCUUUUGUCCUUCCGUUCGUUCACUUAAUUUCAUCGAGGAAUUGACAAGAUCAAACGUGCUUUACCGUAGGAGUUACCACGCGCACUCACCCAUAUGAAUACACAUAUGCAACCCUAUCCAUAUGAGCAUAUUUGAGAGACACCAAUAUUAUUUUUCUUUCGCAAAACACAGUAAGUUCAUGUAUACACACGCAUACUCACCCUUAUGAAUACACACAUGCAACCCUAUCCAUAUGAGCAUAUUCGAGAGACACCAAUAUUAUUUUUCUUUUGCAAAACACAUAUAGAUGCAUAAGUUCAUGUAUACACAUGCACACUCAUCCCUAUGAAUACACAUGCAACCCAAUCCCUAUGAGCAUAUUCGAGAGACUGGGCUGACAGAUCUCGAGAUUGCGUGUACCUCACUAUAGACGGACAUGUCGUCUAGGUACCACUGAAAGAAUAGUAUUUAGCAUCUGUUAAUUCCUAGAAUAAAUCUAGGAAAUAUUCCAAGUCGAGGACUCGAACCGAGUGGGUAGGUUCUACCACAAGAAAUCAUAGUAACUACGCUUAGUUCACCACCUAUAGAUAUUUAGCAUGAUCUGUGCACAGCUUUUCUUAGUAUCCAACCAAACUUGGUGAUUCGUGGUUUUGAAAAGGUUUUUUAAAGCUCAGCUAGGAUUUUCUGGGUGGGACCUUCAAAAUAAAAAAUGGUUCACAAACCAGAUUCUAGUAGGAGAUCUGGAUAGGACUUAAACCACUUAAGGAAAAAUUUUCUAGCCUGUAUAAGAUAGUCAAUUAUUACCCUCAUGUUACAAUGACAAAUGUGAUACAUCAAAUGCCACUCAAUAUCUAUUUUCAAAGAGCUCUAGUAGGGGGAUAAGUUGACAGUGUGGCAUAAUACGGUAGCUCAAAUAACUUUCAGAUUUCUAACGAGUGGGAUAUUUUUACCUUCAACCUACAUAAACAUGGGACUGUAGAGCAGAGACAUCACACAAAUAUUCUAUGCAAUUAUGGCUAGACUCUCAAUUGUAAUUUUGCUUAUCUUUUUUGUUUCCUUUUAUGUUUCUUGAGGUUUUAUUUGUAAGCUAAACUCUUGUUUCCUUUAAUAUAUAUAAUCAGUAGGGGCUCUCCUCUCCUGUUACCAUCAAAAAAAACAUGGGACCGUACGAUCAAUGUAUCAAUACCUAAUUAACCAAUUUCCAACCGUAAGAAAUUCAUAUGGAAGUUAAAAAAUCCUCUAAAAAUUGGUACCUCCAACAAGAAAUAAUUUUAAUAAAGGAUAAUUUGGCCAAAAGGAAUUGAUUUGGGAGGCAAAAGUGUUGUUUCUUUUAUUGCAAGGAAACAACUAAACACAUCUUAUUUGACUACCAUGCCAAAGCAAUUUUGAGGAUUGUUCAUAUUGUUACCGAGUUAACUUCACCUAGAUCUAUAGUUCAUAUGUUUGGGGAAUUGGUUAACAGGCAUAGAAAAGAAGAAGAAAAAUGAUCUUUGUGGGGUUGUAGAACUUCUGUGGGGUAUUUGAUGUACACAAUGAUUUAUUUUUUAAUAUGAAAACAAUUUUUCUUUUAUGCAGGCUACUUUUAGAGAGAACAUAUUAGCUAUGAUUUUGGACACUAUUGCAGCGUGCAGAUAGGGAGACAGUCCACCUAGCAAGAAGUCAUUGCUUUGAAUAUUUUCACAAAAAUAGUGGAGAACCAGUAAUAGACUUUGCAAAUUGGUUGUAAUUGUUUCCUUUCAUUUGUGUGCCCCCCCCCCUCUUGCGCCCUCGUGAACAAUGCUUGAGAAUAUUGUGAGAAUUUGACUGUGUGCGUCCGGCAGAGGUCUAAAACAUUUCCUUUUCCUAAAAUAUAAAAGUGUGUAGGGUGGUUUAUCAAUUUGCGUAGAGGACUCCUUGUUGGUCAUAUACAGGAACAGAAUAUAAAUAAAAGAACUCUGAUGUUUAGGUGGGUGAAAUGAUUAUGAGAAAUUUACUUCAUGUGUCCACCUCUUGCAGUACCAUCUUAAUUUCAAAGCUGUAAGCAUCAUGCUUUUAAUUUGCAUCAUUUUCAGUUAGCUUUCCUAUAGCCAAUGCAUUUGUACGACAAAAAUGACAACCUAUUAUGGUCGUGCAAUAUGUUUAUUGCCCUAAGCCACAUGUGUUUUUCAUUUCAUUCUUGUUGUUUUGCGUGGGCUCUAUACUUUCCCCUAGAGAAUACGAUGACAACUUGCCUCAAGCCCUCGACUAGUCCUAACAUAGAGGCCAAUAAAGACAAUUAGAAAGAAGACUACAGCGUAACUGAUGUUUUUCAUAUUAGUAUAGAUAAGUCUGUUUUAGCUCACCCACACAUUUUACCAUAGAGGCCGACUGUAGACAAUAAACAUGCUCAAACAUGAUCUAUGCAAUGUGGCCGUGCAUUUUAGGAAAAAAUGGAACUGUUUUUUUUACUGGACGAAUUUUUUUUAGCUCAUCAACCCAUGCCAUUUCUUCUUUAUCUAAUAAUACAUCAGCGGCUAAAGAGGCAUGCUCGUGGGCCAUGGAGAUGGGUGAAAGAACAUGUUUUUUUUUGGCACCUCUUAUAUUUCAAGUGCUUGAAAAUUUUUAUUGUUUCAUGCAAUGUAUUUCAAUAUUAUAAAUGCUGCUACGUGAUGUUGCAUAUGUUGGUAUCUGAUAUUGCGUACAUCGCUAUUCAAGUGUUAUAAGUGAAUUGAAUAUGAAACAUAAUUUAUUUUUUAUGUUUUGGACGUUGAUUUUCAAUGUUGCAACCCAUUGCCUAAAAAUUGUUAAGCUAAGGAACCUGUUAGUUAUUUGGUCUAUUGCGCCUAUACACAUGGACAACAUUUUUUAGGUUUUCGAAAUUUACGCCACCUCACUAAAAAUAGAUGUGCUUUAGUGAUCAAAGCAAUAGUUGCCAACCAAGAUAGCCUAUAUAAGAGCUCAAGGCAAUGCUAGCAUCUCCCAAGACGGAUUAACGACAAUGCUCGGUGCAGCAACUGAGCAGCUGGUCUGUGUGACCGGAGCUGGAGCCUUCAUCGGGUCAUGGCUAGUCAAGGAGCUUCUCCACCGUGGCUAUGCUGUAAGAGGCACCGCAAGAGACCCUGGUGAGUCAGCGACUCGGUGUAAUGCGUCCAUCAAGGGUGAUUGGUCUCUAAAUUUGCAUGGAUUUUUCAAAGGACUCACCAACUAGUGUCGGAGCACCCAUUGUCCUAGCUUUCCCACUCACUAUGCCACACCAACGUAUCUCCUUCCUCCACCCUCACCAGCCAUGUAUGAUAUAUAGCAUGCCACACGCCCUUUAAUGCCUUCUUACCUCUCAAUCUCUUAUUACUAGGUGCCAACUGUGUAAACUUCAAACAAAAUGUUGCUAGCUAGUUGCUGAUUUUUGUGCAUCUGCUAACAUGAUUCCAGUGGACCGCAAGAAGUGUGUAUAUUUAUCUCACUAGUUGUUUUUAGUUCUGUAAUUUAUAGAUUAAUGAUUAAUUUUUUGUUACGGUGCUAGAGGACUGCAAGAACGCCCAUCUGCAUGCACUCGAUGGAGCUGAAGAACGGUUAUCUCUGUACCGUGCUGAUGUGUUGGACUACAAGUCACUUCGUCCUGCAUUCAGCUUAUGUGAUGGUGUUUUCCAUGUUGCCUCCCCAGUAUCGAAUGAUCCUGUCAGAAUACUUCCUAUAAUAAGUACCAUCUAUCUAAGUCUCCUACAUGCUCAGAAAGAUUAUUGAAUCCAUGUCUAACAUGAACCUAUUUAAUUUAUUCCAAUUGAAGCGACAGACAAAUGUUAAACGUGUCAUGAAAAUAUGCAGGAACUUGUGCAGGUCGCUAUUGAGGGAACAAAGAAUGUCAUCAACGCUGCAGCAGACAUGGGAGUGCAGCGUGUGGUGUUUACCUCAUCUUAUGGAGCUGUGCAUAUGAACCCUAAGAGGAACCCUAAUCAGAUUCUGGAUGAGAGUUGUUGGAGUGACCUUGAGUACUGCAAGGAAACACAGGUCACCACUUCUACCAUAUAAAAGAACCCUUCCAAAAAUAAUUACACUAUUCAAUGAUAUUUUUGGUAAAUGAAGCACACCUUUUUAGUUAUCACAUAAGCAUUCGAUGAAAAUAAAUAGGAGACAGCGGAGUUAACUAAAUCUAAUUAAGGUAACACCACAACAAACCUUUUCUAACGUGAUACACCGACAAAAAAUUCAAGAAAGAGUGUAUUUUUGUCAUGGAAAUAUAUCAAAAUAUCCUUCAUGCCAAUCACCACACAAGUAAUGACCAUUUCUGAAUGCUAUUUGUGACAUUUUCUUGCAGAUGCCAUCUCAUUUUUUUUAUGAAAGCAUGUUCGUUGCCACAUUAUAUUAACUCUAUAAUUUUUGUGUCACUAAAUAAUUUUGUUAGAAGCAUAUAAAUAAACUAACAAUCUUUGCCAUUAUAAAUGCAGUACAUAUUUUCCAUUAUAUUGGAAAUUUAAUUUCCACUGAGAAUUUUUUGAGUGGCACAUAUAUGUAGUACACCUGCCUUAUGGGUCUAUAACUUAUGAUGAAAGUGCAUGCACAUUCCUUGACAUUAUUGCACGUUACGCUAUAGAUAAACAUGUCUCGUAAAAACCUUAUGACACGGGAAUAUAACCAUCAUUAUUGGGUUAGCACACCUGCCAUGAUUAACAUGCAUCAUAUUAUGGACUUAUUAUGAUUGAAUUAUAGAACUGGUACUGCUAUGCAAAGGCAGUUGCUGAGAAGACUGCAGUGGAAGAGGCAUCAAAGAGAGGGGUACAACUAAUAAUAGUCGUCCCUGCAGUCACGAUAGGCAGAAUGCUACAGUCAACGUUGAACGCAAGUUUAUACGGAGUCGCCACCUACAUGAAUGGCACAAAGAAGGCGUAUCCAAAUGCAGUUGCCGCAUAUGUCGAUGUGCAGGAUGUUGCUCUUGCCCAUGUUUUGGUGUACCAAGAUCAGAAUGCACAUGGACGCUACCUCUGCAUAGGUGACGUGCUACAUCGGUCGAAGUUUGUUCAAAUGUUGAGAGGGCUCUUCCCACAAUAUCCUGUCACCGCUAAGUAAAUCUCUGCACUCUGCAUUAAAAUUUCAGACAUAUAUUUCAUUCAAAUGUGGCCUUGUUUAAUCUUUUAUAUUCCUUUAGAAAAGCUAUGAAAUUUUAUAAAGCAAAGUAAUCAAAAUUAGACUGCCAACUUAAAGUUAAUCCAAUUUGAGAUUAACCAUAGAUAAAAUUUUGAAUAUUUUAAAAAAAAGUCUGUGUCAACCGGAAGUUUGAGGAUUAAUUAGUUUAUGUGUUCAGAAUUUGAAUACAAUUAUACUGCUCCCAGGUCCAUUUCUAUAUAGAUUAAACUAUAAUGAUGUCCCUGGUGUGCAUUAAACUAGAGUUCAUAUUAGUUUGAGUUGCACAGAUUUGGCUACCCUUUAUUUGCAUCUCAGUAUUACACAAAAAUAUCACUAUUCAUAUGUUCGUUGUAUGUCCUUGAUGUCUCACUGGAACGAAGGUCCAGGUUCCACAAGUGAGCCACAAGUGCAUAUUGUGGAUUUCUCCUUAAUUAUGUAAAAUAUUCUAAGUAGCCAUUUUUAUAUGUUAUUAAGUGAUGGCAAACUACAUGUAUAUACCAUUGUUGCACAGUCUUUUACAUGAUGUUUUUGACAUUUCUUUCGAAAUUUGAGUUACUUUAGGCAACGACCAUGAUAAAAAAGAGGUUUUCAUCAAAUUUUAAAAAUACCUAAAGUAAUAUUAUUUUCAUAACAUUACUAGUGCUGCUGCAAAGGUGAAACUAUUGUCAUACUCAUCAAGUGCGGUAUAGAAAAGUGCUAUGUAUUACUUCAACUAACUUUUGGUUCUUUUUCCUACUAACAACCUAAACACUCACCAAAAAAAUAUAAAAAAUAUCUAUCAUCAGAGCAACUUAGUUUGGUCCCAGCUUCCAUAAAUGAAAAGGUAGUAUUUUGAUUUACAAAUUUAAUUUCUCUUGUCUUUGUCUGCCCAUUAUUUAGAUGUGAGAACGACAGUACGCCGAUGGUGAAGCCUUACAAGUUCUCUGUGCGACGGCUCAGGGCUCUGGGUAUGAAGUUCACUCCUUUCAAGGAAAGUGCAUACAACACAGUGAUCAGCCUACAGGAAAAUGGUCAUAUCCCCAUACUGCCACAUAAGUCAGCCCUGUGAGAAAUGAGGAUAUAUAUUUAAAUAAAGGAUUUGAACAUGGGUGUUGAGUCAAUACUUUAGUUGGUAUACAUGGACUAUGUAUGAAGUAUUGUUCAAGCUUUAAAGGGAAUAACCACUCAAAUUAUUCUUAAAUAAUAUAUAGGAAAUUUGGAGCUGGUCUUCAUUUAUAAAGCAAAGGCACAAGUGUGGGGAUAGAUCCUCUAGUAACCGUAAGGAAGGAAGAAGAUAGGAUCAUAUUAGGAUUCUUGAGUAUAUUUGUAAUCCUAAUAGAACUCUUACCUUUACCUUGUAAUUCUAUCAAGACUUAUACAUUGUAACCUUUUGAGAUAUAUAAAGGGGCAGGGGUUCACAACUCAUACCUCAUACAUCCAAGCGCAUAGCGUAAUAAAUAUACUCCACUUCAAAUAUGGCGUAAGGUAUUACAUUACUCUGAUAGCCCAAACAUGUAUAAAUUUGUGUCUUAUGUCUAUUGAUUUAUCACAAGCUUCAGAUCCGAUGAUUUCCCCACCUAACAAUUUACUAUCUCAGGAAUACUUUCGGUAGGUUAACGGCUACAAAACACCAACAAAGUAUCUGCUCAGUUGGUUUCUGUGACUGCCCUUUGCUUGCUUUUGGCAAACAUAUUAGAUAUGUUGUAUGUGCUCUGUCUGUGCGUCAAACCUGCUCUUACAUCAGUAGCUUGAUUGAUCCUAAACUUCCUCUGAAAUAGCUUAUCAAGAUAUCUUUUACGGUCCUUAGAUGAUGAGACACAAAGCAUAGGGGGGGAAAGACUAUAUCACACCUAGGUGUUUAUGAAGGCCCAAAACACCCGAGCUCACUACUUUAUCGAUAGUGCUCGUCCUUCAUUGUCCAUUCCUCUUUUCUUUCUUCCGAACCGCACUGCGGCCCAGGUCUUCCUAGCUCUGCUCACCCACGAGGCCACGAAUGCCUUGCACAACUUCAGCUUUGACUUAGGAUCUGUCUUGCACAACUGGGUGCUUUGACUUAGGAUCUGUCUUGCACAACUUCAGCUUCGAGAUUCAGGUUGAACUGUAGUUUGUACACAGUAGAUUAAACUAGUCCAAAUAUUUAUAUUUAGGCACCGUUUGGUAGAGCUCCGGCUCCUAUCAAAAUGGCUCCGGCUUUGGCUCCUCUGGUGGAGUGACUUCUCCAGUGGACUGUUUUGGAAAACGUUUAGUAGUAAAACGGCUUCUCAACGUCAAUAUGGAUAAUUUUAUGGUCAAUUAAUACUUGUAAAGGGAGGAAAAGUUGGUGAAGCCACUUUUUUUGUCUCCUCCUCUUUAGUGUAAGCCGUUUUAUGGUUUCUCCUCGGUUUCGAUGGUGAAGCCGUUUUGAAGUUGCUCCUUUGGUACGUCUUCACCACGUCUUCACCAAAAACUGGUGGAGACGCCUUUUGAGAAGCAUCAAAGGUUAGUCUGCACUAUAAACAAAACUAUUCACUAAAUGUUCCUGACUUACGUCUAGUUCUAGAUCCAAAAUUUCUUAGUGCUACCAAUAUCUACCUUUAACAGAUCCAUAAUUUUUUUAGACAAGCUAUACCAAAUUGACCCAUAUUAGCCACUAGUUUGAGUGCCCUUGUGUUGAUUUUGGCAAAAAAAAAUAAUUAUCAUUGUCUUGACUGAGCCAAGCAUUUCUCUUGUACACAAGCGAUCAAUACCAGUAAAAGCCGGCAUACAUGAUACAUGUACCCCCAUAAACCUGCGGUGUGUAAAUUGGCCAGAUAAAACGCUGCUGCAUUCCUGGCAGUCUGCUCGGGUGCUGGAGCACCGUUUUUUUGAAAAUUAAGUGCUGGAGCACCGUACCAUCACAAUCUGUUGAUCCAUACCAUUGGUGUUCUCCGCGCGACGCCGUCCCUCCGGCGUCCUCCAUUCCCCGUCGCCGCUCCACCUUCAUCACUGAACGUCUUCCCCUAGCUCCGCCUUCUCUUUGCCGGAGCCACGAACCAGUUGGCCUCUCCUCCUCUUAUUCAGACGCCGUUUCUUGCCGGCCUCCACCUGAGCAGCUCUCUCCAUGUCGCACGUCGCGACGUAGCUCGCGUACGGAGGGAUGCGGGAUUGCCACAUCAGCACGUCAAACCGCUUCUCCCCGGCCCAGACGACGCCGCUGCCAACCUCCAGCAUCGUCACCGUCGGGAGCUCGCUCCGUGCCAUGCCCGUCGACUUUCGCCUGUCGUAGAACAAGCACGGAGCAUUCGGCGGCGCGCCCUUCACCGGCACGCGGGGGUAAUAAAUCCACCACUCACCGGCGCCAAGCUGCAGCACCGUGACUCCGGCGGACACCUUCAGGACGCGGCGCCAGGACCGCGCGCUCAGGUCGGCGCGGAGCGACGCGGCGAUCUUGUUCACCGCGGCGAACGGCGUGAGGUCCGGGAUGCCGGCGAACAGCGCCAUGGCGACGCGCAGCAGCUCCGGGCGCUCCUCCGGGUCGGCGCCUCCGAACGCCAUCGCUUUGAACAGGUACCAGAGCUCCUCCCGGCGCAGCUUGCGCAGCCUGAGCGGCGGCACGGUGCCCAGGCCCGAGUGCGCCUCCGUCCUGCUGAUGAUUACGACCUUGCUCUCUCCGUGCGCGCGGCGGCGAACGGACGAGCGGAACCUUCUCCAUCGCUCCUCCUCGUCCACGUCGCCGCCGGCGAGGUCGAUCACGAACAGAGAUCUAGCAGCGGUGUCGAUCAACCCUUGAUGAUGCUCAUGGCUCGGUAGAAUAAGAUUAUCACUGUUAAGAUAAUGAAUCUUGGCGAAUUUCUCUCGCACCCUCUCCUCGAGGCACGCGUGCUCAACCAGAGUCCGCUUGCCGACUUCGUGAGGGCCGAUGACCGGAAGAACAUCCAAAUCUUUAGCAGGUUGUAGCAGGAAGCUGACGAUCUGCUCCUUCUCUAUCUGCCGGCCAAACAUGCACGUCUCCAUGAACAGGUAGAAGCUGUACGGCUGGCGGUUGAGACGUGGACAGGCACCGAGGAGCACGAUGAACUCCCUCAUGUCGCUCAGCGCAGCUUCCAGGGUGUCCACCAGAACAGACAGCUCACCUGUGGCGUCACUGCCCGGAGGCAAGCCGAGCGACCGCCUCGCCGUGGCGUGCGGUCUCCUCCUGCUGCGCUCGAUGGCUCGCCUCGUGAAGGCGUCGAGCACGUAGGCGCCCCGGCACAUCUCUCCCCUCAGCUGGUUGAGCUGCAGCAGCAUCGCCCGGUUGGUGACCUGCCGCGCCUCGGCCUCCUCGACGACGACGCGGGCUCGCAGCAGCGCUCGCUGCAGCCUGACGACGUCGUCGUCGGUGGUGGUGGAGCCGGGCUCCUGGAACUUGCUGAUGAGGAAGGAGAUCAACCGGCCGACGAGGUCGCUAGCAACUGCAGACAGCAGCGCCUCCAUUGCCAAGGACCAAUGCCCCUCCCUGCCCCAGGCCCUUUAACUCCUCAUUGACUGAACAGCAAUGGACGUAUGAACGUAGUAGGAUGCUGGUUUGGAAUUUUAUUCGCCAUUGAUUAUGUGUGCGGUUACGGUUGUCACAGGUCACUGACCGAGAUGCAUUAGCCGACGACCGGGUACACCAGUACAGAAAAGAUUAGCGCCAUCUCGCUUUCAGACACACGGACCAUAUCUUUUCUCCCCUCUUUGCAAACACGCAAUGCUUGGUAAUAAGGCAGGAAAGAUAUGCUGACUGGCAGAGAAGAAACUUACUUGCUCGUUGUCCAAGGGAGGACCUCUAGGUGCUCAAUAUUCCAUCAAGGCAUUGCCACUGUAAUCUUGCCAAGAAACAGCAAUAUUGCCCGGUACAUAUUUGAAUAGUAUUUCCUUUAACAGGUUUACAAUGGAGCCAUAGUUCUUCUCAUAUAGUAGGCACGAAAAAUUCCCCAGCAUAUAUACUAGUAAAAAAGAAGAGGAACGAAGCUCUCCAAAAAUCCUUGCUGCGCUGUGCAAAAUUCAGCUGCCAGAGUAGCAGCACAAAGAUGUCCCAGGACAGGAUACGCAAUUGGUGGAUUUAUUUGGGUUUCAGCUAGUAUCAGUUCGUACAUUCCAAGCUGGCUACAUUUUGCUCCAGUGCGAGGAAAUAGCAAGCACUGUGCAAGAUCCAAGAAGUGGGAACCCACACAAAUUCUGCUCCAAGAGAGAAAUUGUAUUUUAUUUAUAUGAUUCAGUAUGGUGAUCCCACAACUGUAUUUGCCACAUAAGCAGCCCUAAAGCUUAUAGGCUUCAUAGGAUUUCGUUAUAUCAGAACUUGCUAAAGAACUCACAGAUGUGAUCAGAGACCUCACUAGGCUUCUCCUGAUUGAUGAAGUGGCUCACUCCCUCCAUAACAACAACAUCCUCCAGUUUUGGUACGCUUGCCUUGAAGCCACCCUUGUGGAUGUAAUCCUGUACCCCCGGAGUGUUGUACGUAAUAUCCAGGUCCCCAACAAUGAAUUUUGUUGGAACUUUUAUCGGAGCACCAGUCCAUGGUGCAGAAAGCUCCCAAUUCCUGCAUGAACAUAAAAUGAAUCUGAUGAGAUCAAUGCCUUGGUCAGUUCUAAACAAAGCCCCCAUACAUAAAGUUUGAAUUUGAUUGGCUGACACUAUCUGAAAUCUAAUUCAGUCAUACAUACCAACUAUUGUUUAUUAAGAUGAAUGUAUUUCAGUACAUCUGUCAUUAACUCCUCUCCUUUUUAAGUUUUGGCAAACAUUUCAGGGUGAUAGAUCCUCCUAGCAUGUGAAUUCAAAAUCAUAAGGUAUGCACUACAGAAUGUGAAACCAUUUAAACAUUUGAAGGCAUCAAACGACAGUAAAUCAACAGUAAAAUCACAAAGGUAUGCACUACAGAAUAACAAUAACACUGGCCAACAGUGAACUGAAAGUUGACUUGGCGGAUGGCAAAUAAUUGAUUGCCUGAAUAAAGAAGUAAAUUGAAAAUAAAAAUUGUGAGAGUGAACCAUAAAAGACAUACAGGUUCAUGCAUCUGUAGUAGUUAAAUCCUCCAGUAAAGCCUGUCUUUGAAAAUUUUUCUGCAUAGUAGGAAAUAUCUUCCUCUGAUAGCCAUGGAGGGCAUGUUCCGUCUGAAUCAAGUGAGUCAAAGAAGCUCUUGUCCUUGGGUAGAACAAGAGGAGCUGGCUUGCGCAUGCCAAAUGUCUUAUUAAAAAUAUACUUGGCAUCAUAUUGAGCGAAUUCAGCUUCAGCAACUCCAGGUUCCUGCAUGCAUCAUUAUGCAAUUCAGAUGCGCAAUAUUUCUCAAAAGAAAAAUCAUGUCUCAAGCGAUAUCAAUAUGCACAAAGUAUAUCAUAUAAAAAUAAAAAUCAAUAGCUGACUCCAUACAACCACACUAAGGGAAUGCUGCAUUUUAUAUUCAAAGGGUGUUACGAAGUUGAGGAUUUCAAGAGAGUGCCAUCCCAAGAGUUAUUAUUGUUCUUGAAGAUCUAGAAUGAAGAAAAAUCUUGGAAUUCAAGACCGAUUACUGAUUAUUAGACGAUGAAGCUUAUCCCCCAUCGUCUCACUGGCCGACCUUGACCCCUGUUAUUUUUGGGUCAUUCUGAAGUCACUGAGACAAUCUGAAUUGUUAAUUUUUUUACAGCUUUGAAAGACCCGCUGCUGCGUGCAUAUGCUCAGUUGGUAGAAUCCCAAAGAAGGUUUGAUAUUUUCCAAGAAGCAAUGCUAUUAACUGGUGGUUUGCUGAUGCUACUUUCUUUUAGGAAAAAUGAAAUCAUGGACUGAGUAUUUAAGCUUGUAUAAAAUGAUCUGCUAAUAAUCUCUCAAUCAAGUCUAGGGUUGCUUCUUCAUCUUCUAAAUCAAGCAAUCUCUCAAUUAGCAGUUAUUUCGUAACCCUUAUCUAUCUACAAUUCUGGAUAGUUGUUAUUGGUCACUCGCAGUAUUAUCUGGCGUCAAAUCUGUUCCUUCAUUUCGCUAUUUUAGAGCAGCCAGGAGAAUACAAAUUGCACAGAAAGUAGGCACCAAGUAAUCGUUCCAGCAUCGAUCCAACCAAUCUGCCAAAUUAAACGAGUCCAUCGCCAGUGCCAAACCUCGUCCAUUUAAUGGUUGCCAGGACAGAGGACAGAACAGGGCUACUCAUCAUAAAUAAAGGUCAAUUCUGCCUGAGUAGUGAGUACAAGUACACAAUGGGAAUGGAAGCAGAGUACUCCACUUGUUACCUGGAAGCGGCACAUGUAGUGGUCUUCCCCGCAGGCGGCCUUGAUGGUCUGGAGCGGGCUCCCCUCCGGCCGCCGCGGGUGGUACACGACGCUGAGGUUCACGAGCGCCCGCACCAGGUCCGGCCGGAGCAGGCAUAGCUGCCACGCCACGAUGGCGCCCCAGUCGUGCCCCACCACGAACACCUGCCGCGAGCAGAGGACCCAAUCCAAAAAAGAAGAAAAUAGAAGUCAACGUCGAGUAGGUGAUUGCUGCUUCGCAGCUUCGCUUCGAGGAAUCGAACGGAUUGCCGCUGCCAUGAAACCUGGGGCUGGCCGAGGUCGGCGAUGAGCGCGACGAGGUCGCCGACGACGUGGAACGUGGUGUAGGCGGACGCGUCGGGCGGGGCGUCGGAAUCGCCGUAGCCGCGGAGGUCGGGCGCCACGGCGCGGUAGCCCCGCGCCGCCAGGGCGGCCAUCUGGUGGCGCCAGCCGUACCAGAGGUCCGGGAAGCCGUGCAGGAGCAGCACCGCGGGGGCGGCGCCGCCCUCGGGCCCCGCCUCCGCCACGUGCAGGCGGACCCCGUUCGCCUCCACCGUCCGGUGCCGCACCCCAUCCACCACCGCCGCCAUCCCUAUCCUGUGCCCUCCUCUCUGCUCCAGUGCUCACCGAGGCGCCCUGGCUCACUCAGGCAGCAAGCCUGCUACCAGUGGCGCACGCGCAGCCGCCUGCUUUUGUAGCGGGGGGCCGCCGGCGGGUGGCUUUGGGAGCGCAGCACGCAGCUGGGGUAUUUUGGGGCGUGCGAGGCGUCCGAACGGACGGGCGGCGCGGGCGAGAGUUUGUGUAAUGGGUUUUUUAAGUCUAUGUUUAGUACUUUUAAUUAAUAUCUAAAUAUUCGAUAUGACACGUGCUAAAAAUAAACAAAGGGAACCAAAUGCCCCCUAAGUUUUAACCGGCUUGUCGUAGAGAAAAGGCGAUAUCAUCAUACGAAGAUAGGUGUGCAUUCGUCUGGAGAUACGAGAAUUUGUAAUAAGAUUGGUCCUCUCCAUGGUAGAUCCCUUGCAGGAAAAAAAAAUAGAAAAAUGGACUGAAAUUGUUAGCCUUUGUAAAAUGGACUGAAAAUGGACUACUUUAGGUGAGGUUGCAUUUUAUACAAGAGAUUGUACUGUUGAAUCGAUUUGAAAUUUGUACAGGUGGUUCAUGAGGUGAUACACUGGAGGGGGACGUGGGGAGGGAAGUCGAUUUUACGGUGAACGGCGAACGCUAGCAAAGUAGCAAUUAAGGUAAGUUUUUAGAGGUGGACAGUAUUUCGAAUAAAGGUACUUUCUGUGUUUAUCUGUUUUUAUAUAAAAUGUAUCCGAUAUAAAUUCAAAUAUCCUCAAAAUACUAAUGUAAAUUGGAUGCUUCGGUUUGCUGAUUUUCUGUGUCAGCGUCAGUCUUCCAUUUGCGGUGGCAAACGCUGGGCGGCAAGCGGCAUGGGUCGCUCAGACGGUCGCGUCCUGCGGUUGGUGACUUGGUGGACGACCACCAGCCGGUCAGUUCAGCUGUUAGCUCGCUACUGAAAGCUUGAGGCUGAUUGGCAAAUCCCUUAGCUGAACAAAGCAAAAGGAGAGCUUCUGGAGAGGACGAAAGAGUGGAGCAGCUUUUACAUUGUAAAGUGCUAGGAUUGGUGGUAGUAUCUCUGACUUAGCUUGGUGGUAGUACUUGGUUAAGAAAAUUGCAUACAGACGGUGAAACCUUUUUGAGAAAAUUGUAUCUGCUUUAUUUUAACUAUGUAGGAUUACAAUCACGAAAUAGAAAAGGCAAGAGAGCAGAAAGAAAUCAAACUUUUUGAGAUAGUAAAUCUUGAUGAUAAACUAGACGAGUAGUUCGAAACAUUAUAAACAAGGAACAAAAGCUAAUAAUUACAAACCCACAAGCUAAAGUCGAUCGACACUAGCUUUUUUGGUGUUUUUUUUUUUUGAAAUAGGAGAUUCUAGGUGCCUAUCAGAUUAAAAGGUCAUGUUAGGGGAUGUUUGCUAGUUUCGUUUUCUCUUAAGGCACUUGUUUCCAAGAUUAACUCUUCUAUUUUUCUCCACAACCCAGCAUGAUACGUAGUUGUGAUAUGGAGGGAUGUGAGAUUGACCGGCUAUAUCAAACAUCUCUCCAUUUUGCACAGGCCUUGAAGUAAGCACAUCUUCGGCCCUUUUCUUGUUGGUCAUGUCUCCUUGCAUCAUAGACCUUGUCUUGUAUCUGUUAUAGCAAAACAUGAGAGGACUAUCCUGGCUAAAGCCAAGAAAAUACGAUAAAAAUCUAUUGCUAGAUUGUGUUUCCCUUGGGUCUUCUCCAAAGACAUGAAUGUGCACCUGCAUUACCUUUCUUAUAGAACACAAAGCACGGCGCCAAAAUUGCACAUUCAGAUUACCUCUUAGCACCCUAGCAAUUGUUCUCGUUGUCAUAAGUGAACCACGGAUCCCCAUUGCAAUUUCCUUAGCUAUCGAGGCAAGAUCUGGAUGAUGAUCAUAUGGGUUUGCACUACCAAAGGCAAGGACUCUAAAGAAGUACCAAUGCUCCUCUUCACGUAACCUUGUCAGCCUAAGAGCUUCCACUGUCCCUAAACUUGAUGCACAAUCCAUUCUGCUGAUGAGUAUGACCUUGCUGCUGUCGACUCCACGGCGCAAUGAAUGGUAAAGUUUACCCCAUGCCACCACAUCACUGUCAUGAACAAGCUCCACGACAAUCACGGAUCUCCCACCCGAAGGAUUAAACUUCUUACAUAUAUGAUUAUCCGUGUCAGUACCAUUAGCUAGAUCCAUGAGAUCAUCGCUGCUGAAGUGCAAGAUUUUUGAGAAGUUUCUUCGCACUAUCUCCUCUCUACAAGCAUGCUCAACUAGGGUAUUUUUUCCAACAUAAAUUGGUCCAAUAACAGGAAGGAUAUCCAAAGACGAACAAGGGCUUAAUAAGAAGUUGACAAUAAGCUCUUUUUCCGACUGUCGGCCGAACAUGCACCUCUCCAUGAACAAAUAUGUACUGUAUGGCUGACGAAUAAUCGGAGGGCAAUUCAUCAAAAGUAACAGAAACUCUUUCAUAUCAUUAAGCAUGGCUUCUAAAUUGCUCAUAAAUUGUACUUGGAGUUUGUAUUGGCUCACCUCUAACAGCCCAUUUGAUCGAGAGGGCCAAACGUCGGAGGUGUCCAACAUGUAGUAGCCACGGUACAGGGACUCUCUGAGCUGCUUAAGCUGCAAGAGCAUGCCAUGGUUGGUGAUUUGCCGCCCAUCGGCCUCCUCAACGACGAUGCUGGCUCGCAGGAGCAGCCGCUGCAGCCUUGAAAUCUUAUGGGUGGCAACCUGAUGAUGAGCCUGGUAGUUUUCAACGAUGAAGGAGAUGAACCGGCUGAUGAAGUCGCUGAUCACUGCAGAUAUCACUGUAUCCAUGAUCUCUGUGUGCCAGGGAGAAAUAAAAUGAUUAUUGUACAAAUCAUGAUACAGCUGCAUACAUAUAGUCAGGAUUGGAGGGACGCAAGCUGGAACUUGGCUACCAGACAUGGGGACAGGGUAGUUUUUUCCCCCUGAUUUUUCCACAAGUGUCCCUCUCGUUGACUAGUCUUCGAAGAAGAUGCCGUUGUGCGAAAAAGAGGGGUACUUCCGUCGUCAAACUUGACGAACUUAUGAUAUAACUUUUUUCUCCAUAAUUUUGAAGGGGUAGACUUUUCAUGCUUUUUACAGGAGUCCCUCUCGUUGACUGAUCUUCAAUAGGGCGCUCGCCAUGGGUGUUCCCAGCUAUAGAUUCCUGACAACUCGAACUUGUCUUUUUUUUAAAAAAAAAUUAUUUUUCACAGCUUUCCAUUUUUGAAAAAUGAUGAAAUUAUAUAUAUAACUUUUAUGCAUAAUUUUGAUUUCCAAACUUGUUACGAUAAAAAUUAUAUAUAUAAAUUAUGCAAAAGAAACGAAAAAUUAUAUAAAAAUUAUACAUAUAGUUAUAUGCAUGUAUAACUUUUAAAAAGAAUAAUUGUAUUUUUAUUUAAUCACGCUUGCACGUAGAAAGGUUGCAUAUGCAAAGAAGUAUACUUCAACCCUCUCUACAGGUUCCCUCAAACCUCAGAUAUGGAAGUAGAAGUCGGGUGCAAUCAUUUUUAUUUAAUCAUACCUAUCAAGAUUAAUACUAAUGAAUUGCAUGCAAGACUAAUUCAACUAAAAAUUUAAGAUAACAAGAAAAGAUGAGCAAUUUAUUUAUACCUCACUAUUAUCGCCUCUCAGCCUCCACGACGACGCGACCUCGGAGGAGCAAUCUGUUUGUAGCCUUGGUAUUUUGCUGUGGCAACCAGAACCUCGGAUUUUGCAGCGACGAAGGAGAUGAACCGGCUGAGGAGGUCACCCACCACUGUAGAUAGCAGAGUAUCCAUUGCAUACGCACGCUACAAAAGAGUGCGGUGGUUCUAAUUCAACAGUGCAGAUUUAUACAGAAUUGGGUUCAGGGGGAGAAAGCAGUCGGUGAGGGUGAGGCACAAGUUCGAAGCCAGACAGCUUGAGCGGUGUAGCCUGUUGCGCAAAGGCAAAGGGAGGCGACAUGAUUUUUGUUGUCUCCCUGAAAUUUUUCUUGCUCUGACCGGCGCACCGCCAAAGACGUUACGGCGCCGGUUAGUGGCCACCGGAGCUGCGCCGCUUCCAGCCACUCGAUUUGGCCGUCGUGACUUGUGAGUUGUGGCGGCGGAUCCCACAAGACCUGCUGAAGUUGUUUUACAGGAAGACCUGUAAGUAUUUAAUUUGAAUGGGAGAAAAUAGGAGUCAGCAGUCCAUUUUUGCGUAGUCUUUUCGCCUCUCGCUGAUGAACAGAUUCUACAGCGAUACGCCGAUGCCAACAGCGAGGCGUCAAAAAAGCAAAAGGAAAAGAAAAAAAUCGACGCUCACUUUCUGGGGGGGUCCUAUAUGCCUUCCACGAGAUGUAUAAGAGAUACAACUAUAAAAGCCCAGUAUAGCCCAGCAACGGCACAUAGGAUUACGCGUGCGCAAAUUAGAAAGCAGGCUGCCGAAUCGUUGCAUGCGUGUGCCUCCGUUCCUCAAGCAGGGAGACUCGACGAUAGGGCCAAUCAUGGAAAGAGACUCAUGCUUUAUCAUUUUUUUUUUGGUUUUAUACUUCGCUUUGUUUUUUUCCUACUAGAUCACUAUGAAACGGUAUAUUCAAAAAUUUUGUUAGGCUGAAUCAAUAUUUUUUAAAAAAACUAGUUCAACAUUUAGUGAAAAUUAAUUCAACAUUUUUCCAGAAUGUUGAAAUAGUAUAGCAUAAAUGUUGAAACGAUAUCUAAAGAAUGUUGAACAUUUUUUUAGAAAAUUUCUUUAGAAGGAAUCAAUAUUUUUUUAAAAAAGUUGAAAUAGUAUAGUAUAAAUGUUGAAACGAUAUAUAAAGAAUGUUAAACAUUUUGAGAAAACUAAUACAACAUUUUUUCAGAAAUGUUAAAAUAGUAGUAUAAAUGUUGAAUCGACAUAUAAAGAAUGUUCAACAUUUUGAGAAAACUAAUACAACAUUUUUUUAGAAAAAUUUGUUAGAGUGAAUCAACAUUUUUUAAAGAAGUUGGAAUAGUACAAUAUAAAUGUUGAAACGAUAUAUAAAAAUGUUGAAAUAUUAAAAUAAACAAUUAAAAUAGUAUAUUGGAUCUUGUUGCAUUAAUUCUAACAAACAUUAUGAUUCAAAUGGAUUUAAAAUCAAAUGUAAUGAGAGUGAAAUUUGUUUAGCCUCCCACCCACCUCCCAGGUCACGACACGUGUCCCUGAAAAGCUGGUGCUAUGUGUUGACCCGUGCUUGCUUCGCCUGUGUAGUGGACGCUCUUCGCAUGUGAGCUUUCUUCCGGUAUAAUCUCGACAGACUAGACUUUGCACACAUCUCAAACAGUGGAAGAUUAGUUGAUAAAAAUCUUCCAGAAGAUAGAUACGAAUCCCGUACUUGUUGCUAUUACUUCACAAUGAGGAGGACGUGGCUAGGGAUGGUAAAGGGUCAUCUAGUUUAGCCUAGCAAAUUUAAGUAUGGAAUUCAAUAAGGAUCAAACUAUAAUAUUAUACGAUUUUAAAUUAAAAAUAGAUGGAGCUAAGUUGGAUUGUGAAAAAGAAACAAGUGUCGUUAUCCGUUACCACCUUGGACGUGGCAUGUUCUUGUCAUGGGCCUCGGCAAGGUUGAAAAUGGCCGCGUUUACUGAUUUGUGCGGCGACCAGCCCCAAGUUGCCGAGGUUGUCCACCGGACCUUUUAAGCCCGGUGCUGCACCUCGUUGUUCCAAACUUUCGAAAACUUCAAACGGAUGAAUAGAGACUGCAAACCAAAGCUUUUUCUUUCUCCAGCUUGUCUGGGGCAUUAGAACGUUGUCAGGAGGGCUGCGGCCACGGACGCCGCCGUUGGCUCGGCCGCAAGGCCCUGGGGCGCCGCCCCAGCCAACGCAUGUUGCCGCGGGCUGCUCGCGGCUAGGUGGGGGUCCUGACUCCUGCGAUUCUAUUUGGCCAGUCGCCGCCGGCGGGGAAUGGGUGACCGUCGGCCCUAUGCGCGACAGCGGGAGGAGAACAGGCAGGCGGCAGGAGGGGAAUGAGCUGGAAAAGAAUUGGCGGCACCAGAACUGUCGUUUUUGGAUGGGCUGAAUUCUCUCUUUGGGGAGAGUUGAGCUAGGAUAUUGGGAUGAACCAAAAAAUAUUGGGAAAAGAGACAUGUUUUGAGAGACUGUUGGAGCUCUUUUCUUCCCAAUGCUGGUAAUUGUUUUUUUGGAAAAGGGAGACCGGUGUGGCUGCUUAGAUCUUAAAUAUAAUCUUUACCUUAUGUAUAUUGACAAGGCUGUUUGCAUACAUGUAUACUGUGGAGUUUCACCAGGAGGGGGGGGAUGGCCCCUCCAGGCACCCCUACCUCUGUCCCUGUAGGUCACCCACUGCCGCAGAUAUCACAAUGAUCAAUUGUAUAUGUACCACUAGCCCACUACAAAGAGCGCGGUGAUGAUUCAAAUUCAGCGGUGUGGUAUACGUACCAUUGAGAUUACAGAGAGGAGAUACGCCCUUAUACAUAAACGUAGAUGGGAUUAUAGAGGGCAGGAGCAGUAGCGCACAAAGAUCAAAGCCACACAGCUAUAGCGGUGUAGCCCAAAGGUAAAGGGAAGCGACUUGGCUUUUGUUGUAUUCCUGAAUUUUUCUUAAUGGAACCGACACACGGCCGAAGAAGACGGCGCCGGUGAACAGCCACGGGUGCUGCGCCUCUUCCAGCCACUCGAUUUGGCUGUUGAUGUCACGGCGGAUCCCCCUCGAAGACCUAAGUAAUUUGUUUAGAGGAAGGGCCAUUUUAAUUUGGAAGGAAGAAAUACAGGAACAAGAGGAAUUGCAUUCCACUUUUACGUAGUCUCUCUCAUCGCCGCUCAUUACCCGGUGGGCCGCGACCCGUUCGUGUCAUGGGCCUCUCUAGCCCGCGUUUACCGCUGAUUUGUGCGGCUACCAGCCCAGCUGCCGAGCUACCUUUUUGGCCCGGUGUUGCACCUCGUUCUUCCAAACAUCCUCGAUCAACAAACAAAUCCUAAUAGGAAUUUUUUUAAUAAUAACGAUAUAUAAAUCGAAACGGGUGCAUUAAUACGGUAAAGCAAGCUUAAUUUCUUGUUCUCCACCAGCUUAUCUAGAACGGCAAAAAAAAA
rnacentral:lncRNA from 1 species